rnacentral:rRNA from 1 species
UACAGAGGUCUCAAGCGUUGUUCGGAUUCAUUGGGCGUAAAGGGUGUGUAGGUGGCGCCGUAAGUCGGGUGUGAAAUUUUAGAGCUUAACUCUGAAACUGCAUUCGAUACUGCGGUGCUUGAGGACUGGAGAGGAGACUGGAAUUUACGGUGUAGCAGUGAAAUGCGUAGAUAUCGUAAGGAAGACCAGUGGCGAAGGCGGGUCUCUGGACAGUUCCUGACGCUGAGGCACGAAGGCCAGGGGAGCAAACGGG